rnacentral:lncRNA from 1 species
CGCACUAUGUGUUUAAAUUCCUUUAUGACAAUUGGGAUGUCGUCAAAGGGGAGGACGCUCCAUCCAAAUUGCUAAGAUUGCUGCGUAUUUUCCUGUCUAAGAAAGAAAACAACAGCCAAGAGAUCGAGCUUGUUGAUCCGCAUGAAAACUAGUGAUGAACAUAAAUGUUGGCACUUGCGAUUCGUUUACCUCAAAGAAAGAUUGAUGCCCGUCGCUUAACUGAGAAAGGUGGUGGUGUAAUUUUUAAAAUCUGAUUCCAAAUGUUUCGUGUCAAAUUUCCUUACAAAUUCUUUUUUUCUGGAAACAUUGUCUUGGGAUUAAGUUCUCUAUUGGGAAUGUCAAAUGUUUUAAUGUCCUUGGAAAGUUCUAACCACAAUUCCUUCACAUCAAAUUAUAUUUGGAUUCGUCUACAUUUUAGCUUAUGUUAAAUGCCUAUAUCUUCAAAAGCUCGGGCUAAUAAACAAAACUAGCAUUGAUAAAAUACCGAAAAAUUUGAUUAUGUAGAUAACGGGAACUCCGAUAGAGGGUCGUCAAGGAAGCAUCACAAAGCUAGAUACUUCACCUUAGUACGAGAAAAGAAGGUUAAGCAAAUAAGGUAAUAUGAGAUGCAGAUAGAUUCCAAAAAGCUCAUAUUCUUGUAGGCAUUUCAACAAACAUGUAAUAGGCAUCCACAUAAUCCUACAUCAUCGUACAGAUCUACCAACACAAACAAAACAUUAACAACAACGCAAAGCAAAACUUACCAAUCCUUUCUGUGACGAACAACUCCGAUUCUCUCGUUCUUCUUCUCUCCUAAGCACUCCGAGGUUAACUGUCAAUGUUUGAUUCUCUCCACACUCUUCAGCUGCAUUGCCAUUCUCGAACUUGAUUGAUUCUUUUCCGGCGCAUUGGAAUUAGCAUAAUUGAACUCAG